rnacentral:rRNA from 1 species
UACGUAGGGUGCGAGCGUUUAAUCGGAAUUACUGGGCGUAAAGUGUGCGCAGGCGGCCGCGCAAGUCGAGUGUGAAAGCCCCGGGCUUAACUUGGGAAUUGCGCUCGAACUACGUGGCUGGAGUGUGGCAGAGGAAGGUGGAAUUCCAGGUGUAGCGGUGAAAUGCGUAGAGAUCUGGAGGAACACCGAUGGCGAAGGCAGCCUUCUGGGCCAACACUGACGCUCAUGCACGAAAGCGUGGGGAGCAAACAGG